CACAAAGGUGCUCAAGCUCAUAACGGACGACGCUUUUGCCCAGGCUCUACUUCUCCCUUCCUAGUCGUCUCCAGCGCUCCGGGCUCAUCUCCCAUCCUCAAACCGCUCUCUAGUGAUCUUCAUCACCGCACUACAUUCUCUGCUUCGGCUUCCGACAGUAGACUAAUGCGGCGGCUCUAAUUCAUGUCUUGCCCUCUUUGAAUGCUUAGUUCUCAUUUCUUUUCGGGAGAUAGGAUCCAUCAGCUUUCUUAUUUUGAGUCUGAACAAGUUUAGAAGAUCAGUGGAGAGCUCUUUGAAGGGGUAAUCCCAAGUUAACCUAGGUACAUCACGCAAACAAACUUCUCCAUCUGUCCUCAAAGGAAGGUCCUGAAUUGUUAUGCAGUGUAAGAGAAACCUCGAUGUCUCUGAAGUGAUUGAUGGACUUUUGCUCACGGGAUCGUGAUACGGAUGAUUGCCUAACCUUUUCGAACGCAAUGGUCACCUUCAGGAAUUGACCAAAUGCAUAGCUCCCCCACAUGCUGAAGAGAGCACCUAAGGAAGAAGACUGACAACACUACAUUUUUGACUGAUAUUUGAGAAUACACCCUUCGAAAUAUUUUUAGAAUGACAAAUAACUCAAUAUGAGACAUGGCAUAACAUCAGUACUUUAGCAAGCAUGUAAAUUCGAAUAUUAGAUGCAAUUUAUUUCACAAUUGUACAGCUUUUCAUCAUUGAGUGCCUUCAUUUCUGAUGCCUCGAAAAUCUCAAAACGAUGAAAAAUAAAAUAUUUUUAAUUAACA
rnacentral:lncRNA from 1 species